ACACCAAGUGCGCGAAGCUCUUGUGAUGAAGAAUUUGCGCUACAAUUAGUUACUAUCAAAAUCAUUUGAUGAUGUGACAACAUCGUAAGGGAGGGUGUGCGUGAACGAAGGGGGGGACCGAAGAGAUCACUCGAGAUUACCUUCGCGUGGAACACGAUUCCGCGGUGAAACGCCUCCUCGCUAUGCAGCGGUAUUCGCGUGUCGUACUCGUCAUUAUGUACGAGGUUGUACUGCUUCUUAGAGGGCAUGCUGAGCCCAGCUGCAUUCGACUAUCCUCGUCCAGCCUGGC